CGCAGCGCGUGGCGUCAGUCUUGGCUGGCAGACCUGUACUCCGUACUCGGUAGUCGCAGCGGCGCGGUCUUCGGCAGUCUGGUCAUCCACCGCCAUCCUGGGCCCCACGUGUUGCCUGACCAUUCCUGAGCCCAGGUGGGAGCCGUGGCUGAGGUGAUGGUCUCAAAGUGGAAGAGCUUACUGUCACAGCAACUCCUUUGCAAGAUGCCCCGGCCAGGAAUAGUUGCUGAACACCCCAGGCCUGCUGAGGUCCCUCCUUGAGUCUCAUGUUCAAGCAGUCUUUGUCCAUGAAACUGGGAGGCGACCGUGUUAGCUGCCACUUCCUGACAGCCACCUCUCACCAGUGGCUUCACUCUGUGUCCCUGACCCAGCACAUGGCACAAGAGUGCCUGCCAUCCCUCAGUGUUUCUACAGCAGCAAUCCCGAGAUGCCGGAGCUAG
rnacentral:lncRNA from 1 species